rnacentral:rRNA from 1 species
AGCAGUAGCCGCGGGAAUACAAGGGGGGCAAGCGUUGUUCGGAAUUAUUGGGCGUAAAGGGCGCGUAGGCGGUUUGGCAAGUUUGGUGUGAAAUCUUCGGGCUCAACUCGAAGUCUGCACCGAAAACUGCCGGGCUUGAGUAUGGGAGAGGUAAGUGGAAUUUCCGGUGUAGCGGUGAAAUGCGUAGAUAUCGGAAGGAACACCUGUGGCGAAAGCGGCUCACUGGACCAUUACUGACGCUGAGGCGCGAAAGCUAGGGGAGCAAACAGGAUUAGAUACCCCUGUAGUCCCUGUCUCUUAUAA